rnacentral:rRNA from 1 species
UAUAGAUCAUUGACAAUUGGAUAGGGAAAAGGAAUGAAGAGAAGAAGUCAACGUUAAUUUUGAGAGACUGGGAGAAGGAUAAGAGUUUGAUCCUGGCUCAGGACGAACGCUGGCGG